rnacentral:rRNA from 1 species
GGCGAACGCUGGCGGCGUGCUUAACACAUGCAAGUCGAACGGAAAGGCCCUGCUUUUGUGGGGUGCUCGAGUGGCGAACGGGUGAGUAACACGUGAGUAACCUGCCCUUGACUUUGGGAUAACUUCAGGAAACUGGGGCUAAUACCGGAUAGGAGCUCCUGCUGCAUGGUGGGGGUUGGAAAGUUUCGGCGGUUGGGGAUGGACUCGCGGCUUAUCAGCUUGUUGGUGGGGUAGUGGCUUACCAAGGCUUUGACGGGUAGCCGGCCUGAGAGGGUGACCGGCAAAUUGGGAAUUGGGUACCGCCCCGGCUCCUACGGGAAGGAAGAGUGGGGAAUAUUGCACCAUGGGCCGGAGCCUGAUGCAGGCACGGCGCGUGCGGGAUGGCGGGCUUCGGGUUGUAAACCGCUUUCGCCUGUGACGAAGCGUGAGUGACGGUAAUGGGUAAAGAAGCACCGGCUAACUACGUG